CGGAGGUAAAUCAGCCUCAGCGG
rnacentral:piRNA from 1 species